rnacentral:rRNA from 1 species
AGUGAACGCUGGCGGUAGGCCUAACACAUGCAAGUCGAACGGCAGCACAGUAAGAGCUUGCUCUUACGGGUGGCGAGUGGCGGACGGGUGAGGAAUACAUCGGAAUCUACUUUUUCGUGGGGGAUAACGUAGGGAAACUUACGCUAAUACCGCAUACGACCUACGGGUGAAAGCAGGGGAUCUUCGGACCUUGCGCGAUUGAAUGAGCCGAUGUCGGAUUAGCUAGUUGGCGGGGUAAAGGCCCACCAAGUCGACGAUCCGUAGCUGGUCUGAGAGGAUGAUCAGCCACACUGGAACUGAGACACGGUCCAGACUCCUACGGGAGGCAGCAGUGGGGAAUAUUGGACAAUGGGCGCAAGCCUGAUCCAGUCAUACCGCGUGGGUGAAGAAGGCCUUCGGGUUGUAAAGCCCUUUUGUUGGGAAAGAAAAGCAGCAGGUUAAUACCCCGCUGUUCUGACGGUACCCAAAGAAUAAGCACCGGCUAACUUCGUG